rnacentral:rRNA from 1 species
GCGAAUGGCUCAUUAAAUCAGCUAUGGUUUAUUGGAUCAUACCCGUUAAAUGGAUAACUGUAAUAACUCUAGAGCUAAUACAUGCCUCGAUGCUCUGACCCUGUCCCCUUGGGGCUUGCUCGUGGCGGCUGCGAUGGUGGAGAGGGAAGGGGUGCACUUAUUAGAUCAGAAGCCAACCGGCGUUGCGUGUGUAUCCUGCGUAUUCACGUGCGCUGCAGCACUUCUGGUGACUCUGGAUAAUUGUUACAGAUCGCAGUCGGCCUUGAGUCGGCGACGGGUCCUUCAAAUGUCUGCCCUAUCAACUUUCGAUGGUAGGUGACCUGCCUACCAUGGUGAUAACGGGUAACGGGGAAUCAGGGUUCGAUUCCGGAGAGGGAGCCUGAGAAACGGCUACCACUUCCAAGGAAGGCAGCAGGC